rnacentral:piRNA from 1 species
UUCAUCAUUACAGAAUUGGCAGUGGCUGC